rnacentral:rRNA from 1 species
GACGAACGCUGGCGGCGUGCUUAACACGUGCAAGUGGAGCGACGAACCAGGGCUUGCCCUGGGGCAGAGCCGCGAACGGGUGAGUAACACGUGGGUAACGUGCCCCGAUGACUGGGACAACCCGGGGAAACCCGGGCUAAUACCGGAUAUGUCCCCUGACAUCUGUCAGGUGUGUAAAGGAAGCUUCGGCCUCCGCAUCGGGAUCGGCCCGCGGCGCAUUAGCUUGUUGGUGGGGUAAUGGCCUACCAAGGCAGCGAUGCGUAGCUGGUCUGAGAGGACGAUCAGCCACACUGGGACUGAGACACGGCCCAGACUCCUACGGGAGGCAGCAGUGGGGAAUCUUGCACAAUGCGCGAAAGCGUGAUGCAGCAACGCCGCGUGCGGGAAGACGGCCUUCGGGUUGUAAACCGCUUUCAGUUGGGACGAAGGUCGGCGCGUUAAUAGCGGGUCCGACUGACGGUACCUUCACAAGAAGCCCCGGCUAACUACGUGC